GCCGGGGGUCGUGGCGUAUCCCUGUAAUCCCGCGUCUGGGAGGCUGGUGCAUGGGAUGUCCACGGGCUGGGGCAACCCGCCGUUGAUUGUCCAUGUCGAUCGGGUGUCCGCACUAAGCUCGGCGUCCACAUGGCCGCUUCCAGGGAACUGGAUGCGUCCAGGUCGGCUGACGAGGGGCGAACCGGCUCAGGGCGGAAACGCAGCAGGCAAAAGUCCCCGCGCUGUGCAGUAGUGGGAUCGCACCCGUGAAUGGGCGUCCUCCGUGGGCCUAGCCUACUGGUUGGACCUCGCACCCU
rnacentral:SRP_RNA from 1 species